CUCAUCUCGAAUCACUUCAACUUGGCAAAAUUUAACUUCAGAUACCAUGUUUAAAGUUAUAUGGCUGAAUUUCAAUAAUUUUUGCAUGACUUAAGCUAUUUCUGUCUGAAGUUCAUUCACAUAUGAUAUAAGUUCAACAAAAAUGACUGAACUUCUGUCACAUAUGGAUGAAGUUUAGGCAAAAACGACUUAUUUUCAUGUAGAAAACAUGAAUGCGCCCCAAAUCUUAACACCAAUACUAAGUGAGCUGCCAUCACAAUAACAACAACCAACGUGCACACCGCAAGGGAGGUACCAAGUCAAUGAUUCAUGAGGAAUGGAUCUAGGUCCGAAUGAGCACAUUAUUAUCAUAUUUGAUUUUGUCAAGCCUAAUUCACAUUCCGUAUAUCUGGAAUCGGUAAAUUUGCAAAUGUUAAGGGAAAAAUGGAUACAAGUUAAGUAAAUGGCGGUGUCAAAACAACCCGUUUACCCAAAAAUGAGAAAAUGUGAGAAAUUGUGGGCUCAAUUAUGGGUCUAAUUGUGUGUGGUGGAUGUCAUUAUCAUUAGGGCCAUGCUAAGAUCCUUGAUGAGCUGAGAGCUCAUAAUGACGCUAGACAGUGACGGCCCACCAUUUCAAUUUUUACAACAGAAUGCUAUCCUAUCUAUUUUGCUUUGUUGUCUAUCUCAAAUUUCCUCUUUUAUCCUUGUACAUUGUUCGAGUUUUGUGAUCUUUUUUCUGGCGUCUGCGAUGUGAUUGAAACU